UAAUGUGCAAUAUGGUAGGACUCUUGAGAGGGAAAAGCAAAAAGCUGCAAUCAGUCUGAGAAUUAGCAUCUCUGAGACAGGAGAACUGAUAAACAACCUUUUGCGUCAUGCACCCCACAGGCCCAGAGCUUUUAUCUUAAAGUAGUCAUCCUUCUUAAAACAAAGGAGAUGGUGGUUAGGAAGGUGGGUAGUGAUCUGCAGAAUAAAGAUAAGCCACAGAUUUCUCAAUUGCCACCGUACUUUUGUAACCAGAUACCAUCUGAAUUUUUUCCCUAGUCUAGUAUAAUAAGCAUACUUGAGGCAGUCAAGCGCAAACUUUCAUACAAUAAAUGUUUUGAGUGUAGUGGUUAUUCAACUUUGCCUUUUAUUUACUCAUACCUAAUGCAGCUGACCAUGCCCAAUUUAAUGGGGCACAUUCCUCACUGUAACCAUCAGCACAGUUGCUGCCUGGGACAACCCACAACAAAUCUGGCUGUGGCUGCCCCAGAGAUCAAGGCUGAAAGAAUGGUGAUUUUACAUCGAUAUUGUGCAGCAAUUUCCCGGCCCCUGUGAGGUUAAAAUCUCAGGACACCUAGAAAGAAAAACAAAUUUUAUAAAUGCUGUUAGAGUUCACUCCUCCUCCAAGGAUGAAUCACCACUCAUGUUCACUAAAGAAAAAUAGAUUCUAUCAGUCUUAGUGAAAAAGUUUCUGGAGCCACAAAUGCAUUUAAACAAUGAUCAAGUCAUGCCGUAACAGGCACGGGAAACAAAUGAACAAAUGCAGCAAGAAAUUGCUAAGCCUGGGUCUGAAAUCCCAGUACUGGGGAAAAAACGGAGACCAGUAAUGUUCAAAAGUGGGGCUUCCCUACUUACCAGGGCAAUGAAGAUAAGUAGACACAUGUCCCUUGGUGCUGCAGCCUCUUCAAAAAUACCAGUGAAAUAUGAAUCAAGGUUUCCAUUUCUAAAGAAAUUUCACGAACUCUUCAGCCCAGAGGGUGGGAACAGUUCAAAAAGAUACAUUUGCAAAAACAUUUCUUUCAAGAGUCAUUUUACAUUAAGAUACCCAGAAAAACAUAGCUGAAAUGACUGAAAAACAAAACAAAACAAAACAAAACAAAAGCAUCUGCUACUCUUGCAAAAUUUCAGAUAUAUCUCUAAUUAUACAACUUGUUCUGAAAUAAAGUUAUUCUCCCCGGGUAGCAAAUAUAGAUAUAAACAUCCAGCUAGCAAAAUCUUUUUCUCUGAAUUUAUAGAUUGCCUUGUUUCCAAGAACGCUGGUUUAGUGAAGGUGUCAGCCGGCAUACUUAGAGUCAUCACUCACACGGCUAUUGAAAUGGUGUGCUGUGUGCUCAUUUAAGCUUGGGGCAGGAUGCUUAUCUAGGCCCAAAAUGAGGCUUCUGACAUUCUCUUUGGCUGCUAAAGAUAAAACACUUAACCAUGUGUGAUGGCUCACUUCUGCUUAAGCAUCUUCAUGCACAGUAUACAUUUAGCCAUCUCUUCUGAGGUCAUUCAAGAGUGUUGACUACCUCUGACCACAAUUGAAAGCAGUUGGGCAUAGUUAGUCUUCAUUGUCUAAAAAGGGUGACUGCUCUCAAAAAAAAGCAAUAUUCUAAUAAAAAUAGAUACUCUUAAAAAGAGACAAAUCAGAGUAUUGAUUUCCAUUGUAAUUCUUAUUGUGUUCAACAAAGCAAAUAAUUCUAAAAGUAAUGAGGGUACACCACUUCUUUAAGGUUUUCUCAAUUCUUCCUUGUAAAAUAAUGGCUUAGUAUGUAAUUAAAGUCUAUUGAAAUUGAAUAUGAAUCUGAACUUGUUUUAUUCUAGAGAAAGUGGAGAGGAAUCACUU